AGUGAACGCUGGCGGUAGGCCUAACACAUGCAAGUCGAACGGCAGCACAGUAAGAGCUUGCUCUUACGGGUGGCGAGUGGCGGACGGGUGAGGAAUACAUCGGAAUCUACUUUUUCGUGGGGGAUAACGUAGGGAAACUUACGCUAAUACCGCAUACGUCCUACGGGUGAAAGCAGGGGAUCUUCGGACCUUGCGCGAUUGAAUGAGCCGAUGUCGGAUUAGCUAGUUGGCGGGGUAAAGGCCCACCAAGGCGACGAUCCGUAGCUGGUCUGAGAGGAUGAUCAGCCACACUGGAACUGAGACACGGUCCAGACUCCUACGGGAGGCAGCAGUGGGGAAUAUUGGACAAUGGGCGCAAGCCUGAUCCAGCCAUGCCGCGUGGGUGAAGAAGGCCUUCGGGUUGUAAAGCCCUUUUGUUGGGAAAGAAAAGCAGCAGGUUAAUACCCCGCUGUUCUGACGUUACCCAAAGAAUAAGCACCGGCUAACUUCGUG
rnacentral:rRNA from 1 species